ACGGGAGGCAGCAGUGAGGAAUAUUGGUCAAUGGACGGAAGUCUGAACCAGCCAAGUCGCGUGAAGGAUGAAGGUAUUAUGUAUUGUAAACUUCUUUAGCAGUGGAGUAAUAAGGGGAUCGCGAUCCCUGAUGCAAGUACACUGAGAAUAAGGAUCGGCUAACUCCGUGCCAGCAGCCGCGGUAAUACGGAGGAUCCGAGCGUUAUCCGGAUUUAUUGGGUUUAAAGGGAGCGUAGGCGGAUUAUCAAGUCAGUGGUAAAAUCGUGUGGCCCAACCAUACCUCGCCAUUGAAACUGUUAGUCUUGAGUGCACGCAGGGAUGCUGGAAUUCGUUGUGUAGCGGUGAAAUGCUUAGAUAUGACGAAGAACUCCGAUCGCGAAGGCAGGUGUCUGGAGUGCAACUGACGCUGAGGCUCGAAAGUGCGGGUAUCAAACAGGAUUAGAUACCCUGGUA
rnacentral:rRNA from 1 species